UACGUAGGGUGCAAGCGUUAAUCGGAAUUACUGGGCGUAAAGCGUGCGUAGGCGGACAUUUAAGUCUGAUGUGAAAUCCCCGGGCUCAACCUGGGAAUUGCAUUGGAGACUGCAAGGCUAGAAUCUGGCAGAGGGGGGUAGAAUUCCACGUGUAGCAGUGAAAUGCGUAGAGAUGUGGAGGAACACCGAUGGCGAAGGCAGCCCCCUGGGUCAAGAUUGACGCUCAUGCACGAAAGCGUGGGGAGCAAACAGG
rnacentral:rRNA from 1 species